GUAAUAGUUUACAAUAGAUUUUGGCAGGACAUAGAAAAAAUAUUAUCCAAUUUAUAUUGAAGAUAAACCUUUUAAGGUGAUUCAAUCGUCGCCUCUCUCACCCUCAUCAGCGACACAGUUGCACAGAUUAGAGACCAUUGGAAUAAAACAAAGGCUGUUGAUAUUUGAUAAACACAACAAUGACCCUCAGUUUCUGAAGAUAAUGGUGAUUCAUGGUGUAGUUUGCUUUACGUUUGGUAGCAGGUUUGACGUAGCUUAGGGGCCGCAAAUAAUAAGUUAUUGAACUUGCAAUUUGAUGGAAGAAGAGUUGGAUUCUUGCAAGGAUUUGGUACAAAAAGUUGGAUCAGUAGGAAGCCAGUGCAGCACACUACUUUGGUUAUGCAGCAACAGUCAGUUAAAUCUUUAACUGCAUCUACUGCUCAAUCAAUAGAGAUCCAAUGUUAGAAGAUUCUUCUGAAGAUAUUCAUUCUUCUGGUGUGACGAGUGAGCUUGUCACUAAGUUUCAUGAGGUGGAGUUCUUGCUCAACACAAUAUGUGAUUCAAGUUCAGUUGGGGAAUUUGAAUUAAAAGUAAGCAGAGUUAUUGAACUAUAAAUUUUAGACAACAACCAGGAACCAAAAGCAUAUCAGCCAAAAACCAGCCAAAAUGUGUUUGGGCUCCAUAAAAAAUCGGGUUUUGGUUUGUGCUCCGUGAUCCCAGGAGCAGUUUUCAAACAUAUUAUUCAAAAAGUGAUUCUAAUUAAACGGUUUUGUUUACUUUUUGGCUGAUCACCUUUUGGUUCCAUAUACUUUUCCUAAAUCCUAAAUUUUAAUCUCCCAUAUAAUAUAAUUUUCAUUCUCUUCUCUGAGGACAAUAGGACUUGUUAACUACAUUGUUAGUUUAUCAUUUUUUUUGGAUGAUAAUAGUAUGGCUAGAAGUCAAGAUCUAGUUACAUUGUUUGCAAAUACAUUUAUCUAAGUAUAUUUAUUGUUCAGAAUUUUGGACAUAAGUCUACAUUUUAUUAUGUUUA